AGAGUUUGAUCCUGGCUCAGGGUGAAUGCUGGCGGUAUGGAUAAGGCAUGCAAGUCAAGGGGGCCGCAAGGCAACCGGCAGACGAGGUAGUAACGCGUAGGAACGUACCCCGAAGUCUGGUAUAGCUCGCCGAAAGGCGGGGUAAUCCCAGAUAGUCUCGUAAGAGUAAAGAUCCGUCGCUUCGGGAGCGGCCUGCGUAAUAUCAGCUAGUUGGUGAGGUAAUGGCUCACCAAGGCUACGACGUUUAGGGGAGCUGAGAGGCUGACCCCCACCGAUGAGACUGAGAACGGCUCAUACCCCUACGGGGGGCCGCAGCCGAGAAUAUUCGACAAUGGGCGAAAGCCUGAUCGAGCGAUACCGCGUGGUGGAUGAAGCGAUUCGUCGCGUAAACACCUUUUAUGAGGGAAGAAGUUAUUGACAUUACCUCAUGAAUAAGGGGCUCCUAACUCUGUGCCAGCAGGAGCGGUAAUACAGAGGCCCCAAGCAUUACCCGGAAUUACUGGGCGUAAAGGGUGCGUAGGUGGUCGUGUUAGUCGUCCGUUAAAUCUUCCGGCUCAACCGGGAAACUGCGGGCGAAACGGCACGACUCGAGGGCGUGAGAGGUGCAUGGAACUCAUGGUGUAGGGGUGAAAUCCGUUGAUAUCAUGGGGAACACCGAAAGCGAAGGCAGCACUGGCGCGUUCCUGACACUCAAGCACGAAAGCGUGGGUAGCGAAUGGGAUUAGAUACCCCCGUAGUCC
rnacentral:rRNA from 1 species